GUAGGUGGCAAGCGUUGUCCGGGAAUUAUUGGGGCGUAAAGCGCGCGCAGGCGGUUCUUUAAGUCUGAUAUGAAAGCCCACGGGCUCAACCGUGGAGGGUCAUUGGAAACUGGAGAACUUGAGUACAGAAGAGGAAAGCGGAAUUCCACGUGUAGCGGUGAAAUGCGUAGAGAUGUGGAGGAACACCAGUGGCGAAGGCGGCUUUCUGGUCUGUAACUGACGCUGAGGCGCGAAAGCGUGGGGAGCAAACAGGAUUAGAUACCCUGGUAGCCCACGCCGUAAACGAUGAGUGCUAAGUGUUAGGGGGUUUCCGCCCCUUAGUGCUGCAGCUAACGCAUUAAGCACUCCGCCUGGGGAGUACGGCCGCAAAGGCUGA
rnacentral:rRNA from 1 species